rnacentral:rRNA from 1 species
GAUGAACGCUGGCGGCGUGCCUAAUACAUGCAAGUCGAGCGAACGGACGAGAAGCUUGCUUCUCUGAUGUUAGCGGCGGACGGGUGAGUAACACGUGGAUAACCUACCUAUAAGACUGGGACAACUUCGGGAAACCGUAGCUAAUACCGGAUAAUAUUUUGAACCGCAUGGUUCAAAAGUGAAAGACGGUCUUGCUGUCACUUAUAGAUGGAUCCGCGCUGCAUUAGCUAGUUGGUAAGGUAACGGCUUACCAAGGCAACGAUGCAUAGCCGACCUGAGAGGGUGAUCGGCCACACUGGAACUGAGACACGGUCCAGACUCCUACGGGAGGCAGCAGUAGGGAAUCUUCCGCAAUGGGCGAAAGCCUGACGGAGCAACGCCGCGUGAGUGAUGAAGGUCUUCGGAUCGUAAAACUCUGUUAUUAGGGAAGAACAUAUGUGUAAGUAACUGUGCACAUCUUGACGGUACCUAAUCAGAAAGCCACGGCUAACUACGUG